AGGGUGAGUGUGCACGUGUUAGGAGAGUUUAUUGUUUUUAAAAAACAAAAAUAAAGCGAGUACCCUCCCAACAAACAUGCAGCCAUCUUGGA
rnacentral:misc_RNA from 1 species